rnacentral:lncRNA from 1 species
GCUGAGUAUGGCCGCCACACGCACCGCGAGCUUGUAGCACCUUACCACUCUAUACACAGCUCUCUGGAGGCUGCUAACUGUCUAUAUUCAUAAUCCUGACAGUCACAUCACUGGCGUAGAAAGAUGGUUGUGAGAGACGCCAGCAAGCCACUCAUGUAAGCUCUUUUUCCAGUCAGGUUCAAUUCAAGAAUGACACAGAUGUUUUCUUUUUCUUUCAUGGCGUUGUACCAAUCUACAACCAUCUGACCUCGAGUGAAAUAUCCAUUCAGCUCAACCGUACCAUAGAUCUUUUGGGAUUCUUUUACAACACU